UACGUAGGAGGCGAGCGUUGUCCGGAGUUACUGGGCGUAAAGGGUGCGUAGGCGGCGCGGUAAGUCGGGUGUGAAAUCUCGGAGCUUAACUCCGAAACUGCAUUCGAUACUGCCGUGCUUGAGGACUGGAGAGGAGACUGGAAUUUACGGUGUAGCGGUGAAAUGCGUAGAUAUCGUAAGGAAGACCAGUGGCGAAGGCGGGUCUCUGGACAGUUCCUGACGCUGAGGCACGAAGGUCAGGGGAGCAAAACGGG
rnacentral:rRNA from 1 species